rnacentral:lncRNA from 1 species
UCGACCUAGUAUAAGAGACACACCAACGUACGUACACUCAUAUGUGUUAGAGGCACUUUCAGUUUGGCAUUCAUUCAGUUCACAAAGAGAUCCAUUUAAAGACUUUACAACGUACGUACACUCAUAUGUGUUAGAGGCACUUUCAGUUUGGCCUUCAUUCAGUUCACAAAGAGAUCCAUUUAAAGACUUUACAGAAGAAAAAUGACAGGAUGAAAACUGUGCCUCGAGGAGAUUAAACUGGAAGCAGAAGGUAUCAACCCAGGCCAUGGAGCUGAAUGGAGAAGAAAUGCCUUCCAUCCCUUCCAACCAUUUGGCUUCUCCAGUCCCUCACCUCAAGCAAACCUCAUCAAGGUUUUCCGAUUUCCAGACCCAGGUCCUGAGCAACUAUGUAAAUGCAAACAAACACUGGUGAUGACUGUAAGGUAUGGUGAUCACCCCUCUUCCACCCAAUUAACAACCUUCAGGAGAAAAAAAUAGAGGAAGGAGAGGAGUGUUUGCUGGUUGCAGCUCUCUAGGAAUAGCCAAGGAGUUGGCAAAGGAAGCUCACUCUCCCUGCUGCUUCUGCCUCUGAAGUGAGUGAUCCAUACUUUGGUAAAUGAGAUGAUUCAUUUGUAUGCAGAAAGAAAAUAUUAAGACUCUUGCUUAUAUUUAGUUUUUAUAGAAUAACUAAGAAAGUAAUUAGGCCUCGCAAUUAUUUAACACAUAGUGUGUAGAGACUGCUAUUUGCCUACUGCAAUAUCCAUUCUUUAUGUCUUAGUCCUUCUUGGCUAUUAAAACAAACAUGCCAUAGACUAAGUAGUUUAAAAACAACAGAAAUGUAUUUCUCACUGUUAUGAAGGCCAAGAAGUCCAAGUUCAAGGUACCAACAUAUUUGGCGUUUGGUAAGGGCCCAAUUCCUGGUUUACAGAAAUCCUGAGAUUAGGUUAGUGUAAAAAGAAUUGCAGUUUUUGCCAUUUUUAAAAGUAAUGGCAAAACUGCAAUUAUUUUUGCACCGACCAAUAUAGCCUCACAUGGAGGAAAGGGAAAGAAAACUCCCUGGGGCCUUUUUUAUGAGGGCACUAAUCUCAUUUGUGAAGGCUCCACCCUCAUGACCUAAUCAUCUCCUAAAGGCCCCAUGUCCAAAUAUCACCAUGGGUGUUAGGAUUUAACACCCUAUGAAAUUGGUGGAAAAGAAGCAUUCAGUCUGUAGCACUCUUCUCACUUAGUAACAGAACCCUGACUGUUAGCUCAAUAUGUUGUCACUUAGAACGAAAAGUUAUUAUUUCCUGGACCUAUUUCUAGCUAAGUUUUGGCCCCUAUAUGCAAUCAGAAAUAAUGUAAGUGCCAUAUAGAAAACUUCCUCAAAGGGAAGCAUGGCCUU